rnacentral:rRNA from 1 species
GCGGCAGGCUUAACACAUGCAAGUCGAGGGGCAGCGGGGAGGAAGCUUGCUUUCUCCGCCGGCGACCGGCGCACGGGUGAGUAACACGUAUGCAACCUGCCCCUGUCAGGGGGACAACCCGCCGAAAGGCGGGCUAAACCCGCGUACAUGCCACCGGGGCAUCCCGGAGGCAGGAAAGGCUUCGGCCGGACAGGGAUGGGCAUGCGGCGCAUUAGGCAGUAGGCGGGGUAACGGCCCACCUAACCGACGAUGCGUAGGGGUUCUGAGAGGAAGGUCCCCCACACUGGUACUGAGACACGGACCAGACUCCUACGGGAGGCAGCAGUGAGGAAUAUUGGUCAAUGGUCGGGAGACUGAACCAGCCAAGCCGCGUGAGGGAGGAAGGUACAGAGUAUCGUAAACCUCUUUUGUCAGGGAACAAAGGCGGGGACGUGUCCCCGGAUGAGUGUACCUGAAGAAAAAGCAUCGGCUAACUCCGUGCCAGCAGCCGCGGUAAUACGGAGGAUGCGAGCGUUAUCCGGAUUUAUUGGGUUUAAAGGGUGCGCAGGCGGUCUGUUAAGUCAGCGGUCAAAGCCCGGGGCUCAACCCCGGCCCGCCGUUGAAACUGGCAGUCUCGAGUUGGAGAGAAGUAUGCGGAAUGCGCGGUGUAGCGGUGAAAUGCAUAGAUAUCGCGCAGAACUCCGAUUGCGAAGGCAGCAUGCCGGCUCCACACUGACGCUGAGGCACGAAAGCGUGGGUAUCGAACAGGAUUAGAUACCCUGGUAGUCCACGCAGUAAACGAUGAAUGCUGGCUGUCCGGGGGGAUUGACCCCUGGGUGGCGAAGCGAAAGCGAUAAGCAUUCCACCUGGGGAGUACGCCGGCAACGGUGAAACUCAAAGGAAUUGACGGGGGCCCGCACAAGCGGAGGAACAUGUGGUUUAAUUCGAUGAUACGCGAGGAACCUUACCCGGGCUCAAACGGGGAGUGACUCAGGCAGAGACGCCUGUUUCCCACGGGACACUCCCCGAGGUGCUGCAUGGUUGUCGUCAGCUCGUGCCGUGAGGUGUCGGCUUAAGUGCCAUAACGAGCGCAACCCCCGCGUGCAGUUGCUAACAGAUAACGCUGAGGACUCUGCACGGACUGCCGGCGCAAGCCGCGAGGAAGGCGGGGAUGACGUCAAAUCAGCACGGCCCUUACGUCCGGGGCGACACACGUGUUACAAUGGGUGGUACAGCGGGAAGCCAGGCGGCGACGCCGAGCGGAACCCGAAAUCCACUCUCAGUUCGGAUCGGAGUCUGCAACCCGACUCCGUGAAGCUGGAUUCGCUAGUAAUCGCGCAUCAGCCAUGGCGCGGUGAAUACGUUCCCGGGC